rnacentral:rRNA from 1 species
CAGCAGCCGCGGGAAUACGUAGGUGGCAAGCGUUGUCCGGAAUUAUUGGGCGUAAAGGGCUCGCAGGCGGUUUCUUAAGUCUGAUGUGAAAGCCCCCAGCUCAACCGGGGAGGGUCAUUGGAAACUGGGAAACUUGAGUGCAGAAGAGGAGAGUGGAAUUCCACGUGUAGCGGUGAAAUGCGUAGAGAUGUGGAGGAACACCAGUGGCGAAGGCGACUCUCUGGUCUGUAACUGACGCUGAGGAGCGAAAGCGUGGGGAGCGAACAGGAUUAGAUACCCGCGUAGUCCCUGUCUCUUAUAC